GUCGGAGUGGCGGAAUCAGGUAGACGCGCAUGGUUGAGGGCCAUGUCCCCGCAAGGGGGUGGGGGUUCAAGUCCCCCCUCCGACA
rnacentral:tRNA from 1 species